UGAAAUGAUCGUUUUUUAGAAGAAUGAACCAUACUCAUCGUUAAAUAUCAUUUCUCUACUUAUCAAACGAAUAUAUAUUGUGAAAUUUAAGUCAACAGUAUUAUUUGUAGUGUACACUGAUUGUUCUAUAACCAACUACUAGAUACAAGUAUCAAAUGAUUUGAAAAUCCCCUUUCAUAUGUAGAAUCUUUUCCAACUUUACAAACGUUUCUACAACGCUUUUUUGGUGAGCUAAAAUGAAAUACAAUGGUGGGAAUAUGUUAGACUUUCUCAAGUCUUUAUGUUGUUUUUUUAGUGUUUCUAUAUAUAUGUUGAAAAUUUUAUUGUGAUUCAGAAAUUUCAAUUUCUGCUCUUUUCCAUUUAUUUAUUCAUAUAUAAAAUUAUGUUAUCAAAACAUCUAUGUUUGGAAUUAUUCAAAUAUAUUACAGAUCAUUAUUUUUUUAACGUAGAGACUCGAGGAAGACUAGGUACAUGUAGAUGUGUCAGAAAUGCUUAUUUCAUCACACUUAAAAUUACUAGUAAUUGUGCAUUAAAAUGCAACCUCAUAUGUCCAAAUCUUAAACAUUACAUGGGUUAAUUAUCUUUGGUCAUUUGUUUAAUUCUGUUUAGUCUUGGUCAUAUUUUGUCAGAAAAUUAAUAAAUAACCAAACUUGGCACAAAGCAUCUUGAGGGACAUAAUUUCUAAAUAUUUUUUCAAUUAAUAAUAAACAACUUGGGCUGGGUUUCACAAAACUAUUGUAAGAUUUGUUAUGAGACAUAUCUUAAGAUUUUAAUAGAUCUGACUUAUGACAAUCAUAAGAUAUAUCAGUUCCGUUUUACAAAACUAUCUCAAGUGUUAGAAAUCUUAGAGAUCAUAGAAUUUUAAGAUAGUUCUUACGACAAACUUCAUUCUUGAAUAAACUAAAAAAAUGUUGUUUUUUAUACC
rnacentral:misc_RNA from 1 species